rnacentral:rRNA from 1 species
GACGAACCGUGCGAGCGUUAUUCGGAAUCACUGGGCUUAAAGCGCGUGUAGGCGGGAGGGCACGUCCGUCGCUGAAAUCCCCCGGCUCAACCGGGGAACGGGCGCGGAUACGACCUUCCUUGAGGGGCGUAGGGGGACCUGGAACUUCCGGGGGAGCGGUGAAAUGCGUUGAGAUCGGAAGGAACGCCCGUGGCGAAAGCGAGGUCCUGGACGCCUACUGACGCUGAGACGCGAAAGCCAGGGGAGCGAACGGG